CCAGAAACCAGUGCUGCCCCUGCGAGCCAGCAGUGAAGCCACCACAGCUAGCAGACGUGACAAAAGUCUUGUGAACAUCAUCAGCGCAGACUUUGGCUCUCCCCUUCCCAGAGAUGUCAGUGCCCCCGGCACUGAUCGUACUGACAGCAUCCUCCCAGCCAUCUUCAGGAUGCUACAGGCUGUAUGUGGUGGCCUAAAUACAAGUGCCCAAAUCCCCCUGAGACACCUCAUUGUGUCCAGAGCAAUUGUGUGGGGCUUACACAGAAGACACAGCACUGCUGAGAGACCCUCACCCUCCUGCAGCAGCAGCCAGGGUCCAGACGUGGUACCCGUGAUUGCACUAGACACCCAUAUUUAGGCCACUUAAUCCUGCUGGGGGAGAUCAGUUCCAGGUGGGAACACCUGAAUUCAGGCAUCAAUGUGGAAGUUUGGUUCACUCCCGCCUACAGAGAUACAUUCUGUAUAAUCAAUGAAUCUAGAAAUAAUUAAUCUUUCUCAAACCAGGAUUCAGUUGCCUGAAAGCAGGUGCCUAAUGCUAUUUUAGGUGGUGUGGAGUAUACCGGUUGGUAUCCCAUUGCUGCACCAGAAAGAACAUGGGCUUCCUCUGCCUUGCAUCAUGUCUGUCAGCCAGAUACCUCAUCUGCCCUGGAGUGUCAAAUGACAGCAGAAGCCAACCUUAAGGGAACUGAAGACUAUACACGUUAUGUCUGAAGACCGGACAAGAAUGUACUCACUCCUCAAACCUGCAAUGAGAUCCUGCAAACAGAGCUAUAUCCAGCAAAGUUUUAUAGACUUGGGAUUAUCUCCAGCAUCUGUGCAGGAAACAUGAGAAAGGACAUUCACUCUCCAUGGUUUAAGAUGUUGCUAAUGAGGGUAAGGUUGCCUCCACUACCUCUUGUCAGCUCUUCCACGCACAUUCAAGUUAUUCUAUCAUUUCAAGCCCUCGCCUCCAACAACAAACUGCUAAGGGCUCUUUUCUAAAGGCUACCAUCUAACGGGUCUUGUGCUGUAGCACACCUGUAAAAGCAAGACAACUUGACUGAAAGCAUUCUCUUUGGCAUCUGCCACUCUCUCCUGUAUUGCUGGUUUGUGUGUUGUCUGACUAGAAAAACAUUUCUCAACCAUUUCUCUGCUGCUCAACUGACGGGAGAAUUUGGGACCAAUAACAUUACCUUGGUUCUUUGUGAUAAAAUGCAUCUUUAAAGAGCAAUACUGGCAUGACUGUUUCAAGCAUCAUAGCACAGCUCUUUUCAGUCAGCUGCCAUCCAGGACUAGGACAGCAACAGCCAAAGCCACUAGAGUCAACUGGAAGUAGCCAAAGCAGCAUAAAAUUCCUUUAAAAACCCCAGCACUUUCAAUUUUUUUUUAUGAUUGACAAAACAAAUAUAGCCUCAGUUGAAGGGGCAGAUUUCUGCAAAUGUACUACUUAAACUCACAGUGUUUUAAAGGUUUACUUCUGCGCUUCUAAUUCAACAUCUGGCUACACUGCCCUGAACAGAUCUGCUUCUGUGCUCAGAAGCUCCUUUAAUAAGGAUCUUUGAUUUGUUGUUUUUAAAUUACAGCUCACAAAACAUCAACAUUCUUUUCUGCUACUAGGAAAUAGGUAAUAACCAACAGAGGGAAAACAUGCAUACAGCUAACCUUGUUGUGUGUAAUAUGUAUCUUUUCAUUUAAAUUCACCAGUGAGUAAUAGUGAUGUAUUAUUUAGGAGAACGCCUUGCCAGUGUCUGCUAAUCACUCUUCCUAACAGUAACAGAUACGCUGCAUGGUCCAACAAAUUGUAAGUCAAUCUUCAGGUUCAGUGCAAGGCAAUAUCCUGAAAGAAAAAUGACUUUGGCAGUUUGCGAUCGGCAACUUGAAUUACGACCUUAGUACUCUGAGCAUCACACAGUUUCAUUUAAGAAGCAUGACCACAUGUUUAUGAAGUGAGGACUGGUUUUCUAUUUCACUGCAGAAGCCAAGUUAGAAAUCAUAAAGAUAGCAUGAUAUCCAUAGCCUGCCAGGGGAGGAAAAAUCAGGAACUGUUAAGUAUAAAAGGGAAAUAAUGAUAUAUAUGCAUAAUGUUUUAUAUAAUAUAUAAAAUACUAAUUAUAAUGUUGGGCUGGCGGUUGCUUAGUAAGAGAGCUUCUGUGCUUGUCCCAUUGCUCUGAAUAUAAAUGUGUUAUUCAUUUUUUCCAUUGUGAGUACCAAUUUUUACCAAUUUAUCGGAAACAUCUGAAUGACUGGUGUCCCCUGCUUCCAGAAAGGCCACUUUGGUAUAAUGUGCUCUGCAGCAUUGCUGAAAUGUGGGACAGAAGAGAAGCAAAGGCCAGGGGCUGUCUCGCUUUGCGUCCCCCUCGGCAACACGAAGGACGAGGCUAUGAUCCUGCAGGCUCUGCCCUUGCUGUCAGAGGUCAGAGCUGACUUGCCUGAGCACAUGGGGUUAGCUCGAAUGGUGCCCAGCACGGGCAGGGAGGACCCACUCCUGUUAUUAAUCCAGAGGAACAAUGACAGGAGCCAAACACAAAGCAACUGGCCUGUUGGCAGAGCCAAAAUGCAUCAGGAAAAAGGUUUCAGAAAAUCCUUCCUCUGUCACCCCUCAAAAGACAGGGCAGGGCUGGGCAGAGGGAAGCCUCAGAAGGGUUGAGCCAGGUAACACAAACCUCGUGGCAUGCGCCAGGUGAGGAGCUGCCCAAGCACAGAAGGGGGAGAGGUGACCUUUCCUGGUCCUGUCUCCCGCCAUGCCACCCAGAGCCAGGCAGGGUAUUUCUGACUUGCUGCCUUCAAGGCCUAAUCAGCUCAGGCUUUGUUUCGAAUGAGCCAGGAGACACCCCUGAGUCACGCAUCACAACAGUGAUCCUUCCAUCCUAGGUCAGACAUAGGCAGCCCUCCGUGGGGCAGGAGGGGACAGCCUGCACGGACACUUGAGCUGGCUCCCAGAAGGUCAAGGGAUUCACCAGGAGGGGGGAUACCAGCAAGCCAGGGCUCGGGGGGGUUGGCAGCUUAGCACCCACCUGCUCGCCCAUCUCCACAUCGAGAAGUGGAUGCCCUUGGAGCAGCUGGCCAGCAGCUCCCCACCACUGCAAGCAGGAGGUUUUGCUCCCCACUGUGCCCAGCUCCCCAGCCAGCUCCCAGCCUUUAGGCAGCCCUGGUGCUCCCUGGCUGUGAGCUUUGUAACCCUUGCCCCACAGGACAGGAGUCUUCUCCCCCGGAGGUUUGUGUGUGCCAUGGUGGUCAACCAGCACCUGACUGAGGGCAAGGAGACAGUGGCACUGUGUGGUGGGAAGUGGUCAGAAGAGGAACAGAAGUGAAGCAGGAGGAAGAGGAGCCACGUUCUCACUUCCAUUCACCAUCCUGUGCUGGCAUGGAGGCUCCCACCCUGCCAAGAGUCCUGCAGCUGACUCAUUGAAAUCAAUUCAGUGAGGUACGCCAGAAAUGAAGCUUGUGUUUUGAUGUCCUCUGCAGGAGUGCUGCAGCACCUUCUCCAGCCACAUUCAGGAGUACUGGGAUCCAGCACAUAUUGUACAUGGACAGCAAGAGAGAUGUUGAGAAGUCACCUCUCUCACCCAUUUCCCCCCCCAUCCUUCCUCUCACCCUGCUGUGUUUCCAGGACACUCUCCUCACUUUUUGGCUAGGAAAGUCCGCUGGCACAGUUUUACAUGAGCAAGGACUCCUUCCACAGAAACAGGAGUAAGUUUUUCUUAUCUUGUCUUCUCCCUGCUUUGAAGAUUUGCAUUUAGACCUCUGAACAGGUGCCUAGUUAGUUGUCAUGGCUAUUUCGGCAUUUCUAGUUCAAGAGGACAGUAACUCAGGCUGCUUUUUCUGCUGGACUGCUGAGCCAUGGAGAGAAGCCACCACACCGCCUCAGCCAGGCACUCCGUCAGGUGGCUUGAGAACCCAGGCACAGGGAUUAUUGGUCCCCUAUAGAAAGGGAACUGCGGUUCCCUGAUGGAAAGCCAUGACCAAGAACGAGUCAUGAUGUAAUUUAAACACACCGAAGAAGUGUCCAAAUGCACUAAUUGCAUCCACAAUGUAACAUGGCCUCAGCACACCAAAGACCCUGGCCCCUCCAAGCCUGCUGAACUAGUACCUAAGCAAUUGUGUUACUUACUUUCACCUUUCCACUGUCACUUUCUUUUAUUGCCUCAAGCAGUGUUGAGUUUUCCAGAGUGUGGACCAUGUCUGUUUGCCUGUAAAGCACUCGGCACAGUGAGCUUUCCUUGGCCGGGUCUCCUUGCGUCCCAUGCUGUUGCAGAUGCUCCAUCUGCACAAGGAUUUCACCUCCUCCUUCAGACACAGGGAAGGAGAAUAGGGAGGUGAUGAAUCCUUUGAAUUACAGGCUUUAAUAUACACACGUGGUAAUGCUUCUGAUUCCAAACCGCCAGGCGCAAUGGGACAUGUUCGUGCUGAAAUGGAAAUACAGUCCUGUUAGAAUAAAGUUCACCAUACAAACCGGGCCGUCUCAUUCAAUGAUUUUAUUUCACUCAGCCAGCACCCCAAAUUCUAAAUCAACAAAGUUCACGGUGGCACAGAUGUGGCCUAUCACUCAGGCUGUGAGCAUCAAGUAACACAUGGCAUGCUCAAGUUAUGGACGUCUUUAAGAGCUCUUAUUUGACCUUGGUCCCCAGCAGCAAACUCCUUUGGAUCUGAUGGGGAUGUGAUGAAGUAAUCCCUUCUUCAGUUAAAUAUGGCCUGAAAAGCAGCUGUUUAAUAAGCUGCAGAUGUAUUUAGGGGUCUUCAACAUUUAAGAUUACUUCUUAUUUUAAAAGAGCUCGGGAGUGUUUAUUUCUAUGAGAGGGUGCAACUCCACAAGUAUUUAUUCUUGCAUCCUAGAGCUUCUCAGCCUCUCUCAGCAACUCUUCCUGAAAUCCUUUGACUUUACUGUAUAGAAGGAUCCUGAAAGUGUAGGGAAUAAUCUGUUCCCUUACCUCAGUGCACUUAAGAUGUAUAACCCUGCUGCAACAGCCCCAUUAUCCCACUCAACGCUGUCAACUAUAUAUGCACCUAAAAGAAAUUAAGUUUGCGUUGAAAUAUGCAUGUGUGUACAUGGACUCUACACACACACACACAUGCAUACACACAUUUCUUUAAAAAAAGACGUCAAAAGCCUUUAACAUACACCCAUUUAAAAACGGGCGGUGAGUGUUUUGAGCCCAGAUGAACACAUCUCACUUCAAGCUCUCUAAGUCUUUAACUCUGCAGCUGCAUCCCUGCAGCACCGGCAAAUAUGCUGGAGCUGGACACCUGACACGGCCAGGCACCGCUGGGCUAGCGCCCUCCUGAUUCUGCUCCCCACACCUCUGAGGAAAGAGGAAACACCCUGGCAUGGUCCUUCCCCAGAAAACUGAAACCUGAAGUCAGAAGCACACGUCACAGCCUUGCUGUUGCCUCAACUACCGAUCUGCCAGGACAGUGCCAGAGCGUCGCCUCUGAUAUCUGUCAGAGGUGUUAACAUCCAGUUACAAGAAAAGAGCCCUGCAACCAAGGGAAAAACUGAUGCUGCCUUUUGUGUUCAGAGUUCAUAGCAAACUGUUAUGUGAGUUCAAAAGGCUGAUGCAAAGAAUGGCACCGGGCAUUACCCCCUGCGCAUCGGUAUUUAGGAUCCCCCUGCCUCUGUGGGGAUUAGGUUACUGGUGAGCAAGAAGUCCUUCGUGGUCAAAAAUACCCUGGGGACAGUCCACUUCCUAACUUUUCAUAAUAAACAGCAACAAAAGAAAAUCUGCCAUGUGCACCUGCAGGCACAGCCGCUUCUCUUCACUCUCUCACACAGGGUUGGGGUGUCCCUCCCUCUGCAAGCUGCGGUUCCUUCCCUCACCCCAGGAGGAACUGGGGGAUGCUCUGCCUUGAGUUGUGCUCCCCAAGGGUGGCAGAGCCUGUGCUGUCCUUUUGCAGCUACAGCAAUGAGACAGCAAAGCGCCGUGCACGGGGCCACGCUGCUCCUGCUGCCCCUGUCACCCCACAGGAAGAUAACCCUACAGGGGCAGAAUGGGGGAACAAUUUUCUCCAGCUUUUUGCCCAUUCAGUUCCCUGAAUGCAGCAAGACUUUCUUCGGGAGCAUCAUAAAGCAACUCGCUGAGAGAACACAGGAGAGAGGGGGAGGAGGGCUGCGCAGAGGUUGACAGGGGAAGGAGCAAAGUUAAAGGGAGUAUAACCUCACAUGGACAUCUGGGCUCAUAGCAGGGGCUGAACCACAUACUCACAACUUCUGGCCAUCAGAAGAUGAACCUUUGAAGACUUGCUUCAGCAGCAGGAGUCCAGCCCUGCUCACGGCCCAUCUGAACUCUCUAUCUGGUCCCCAGGAGGGUGCAGACAGAGCAUCCUUCCCCUCCAGCAACUGAAACAAAGACAAAACCAGCCAUCGCCUCUUCCCUCACAGCCCAGCCCGAAGGCUGUGCUUGUUACCUCUCCUGACCGACUGGUAAUGGCACAUUGGGUGGGUGAGGACAAGAUGUUGGUGCUCACUUGCCCCCAAAAAGAAGCAUCCAUCCAGGGAGUGGGAGCUGUGGGGUAUGAUCCAGUCGGGCUUUUGCAGGUACCUGUCUGCUGCAUGGGGGGACACCUGGGCAUAGCUGUGGUGGAGCUCACCUCAUGCUUUUGGCAUCUCCUCCACACCCAUUCCCAGUGCUGCUUUCCUCACCCUUUCUCCAGGCACCCAGCAAUUUAUUGAUCAUAUCUUGGCAUCAUUUUGAAGCCUACCACUCUGCUAGGCCAAGCAGCCAGAAAUUACUGUUUGGGAUGUGGCAACAGUAGGGUGGGAGGCUCCUCCAGAGCCAGACAUUGCAAGGAGUUAGGGAACAGGGCCCUGAGAAGAGCUUUGUGCUUCACCCAAACCACUCCUGACUCAAAUAUGGCCUCAGACAUGGUCUCAUAUAAGCAGAGCGAACUCCCUGACCUGCCUACCUUCUUGCUCACAGAGCUGCUUCAUGGGCUGCCUACUAAUGCUGUGUAUCACGCAUGGCCUGAGAAGCAGAUCUAAAAAACUGUGUUCCCUGGGGGACAGUGAUCUUGCAGGGUCUGAAUGCCAAAAGCGAGGAGGAUGCUGCCACUGACACCCCCCCUGCCCCGACGCAGGCAUUUUCUGAGGUUACCUGUAAGCCCUGUGGCCUGCGUGGGGUGGUGCUGCCCUCACCUCCAUGGCAUUAGCCACACAUAUUUUGCCUAAGCCACACACCAGGUGCCUUUCAUAAACAUGGUGUCCCUUGCACAAAGGCUUAUUUAUAUAUUGAUGACUGAUUUAUCCCAGUGGACUGGGAUGUCAGGGAGAUAUUCAGUAUGUGUUUCUGCCCUGUGGAUGUGCCUUCAAGCUCAUUACCCUAAGCACUGGUGGCUAGCUUCCCACAGCAGCAUGGGGUUCGGUCUAGGCUUCACACCCUACCCCACGAAUGAACAGAACAGCUCACGCAGAGCUCCAUGCCACAACGUUUUACUGGUUUGAUGCUACUGACCUGGAAGUGUUGUUGACAGACUAAUCUGGAAUGAGGGCACUACAGACAUACCUCAGGCUGUUUUCAUAGCAGCGCUGCUUUCCCUUCUGAUGGGUGUUUUGGUGGGGAUUUGUGCCAUCCAGGGAAUAUCUGGAGAAAAAUUUUCUGAAGGGAGCAGCUGACUGGCAAGGGACCCAGCUGCCCUUAAAGCUGUCAUGUGAGAUUUUUCACAGGAUGCCAGAGAGGGCACGAAAAUCAGCAAGAUCACAGGUUUUCCAGGCAUGGAUUCCCAGUCACCCUACCUGUAACUAUUAACACAAGCAUUACUUCACAGUGAACGAACUCUACCCGCUCCCCUUGCAGAGACGUGGCACAAGGGUCUUGCAACAUUUAAUAUUAUUUAAGCUCUCAAAAUAGGGCUCUAACAAGGCUUAAAUGCUGAGUUUGUGCUCAGCCUUCCAGAGGGAAGUUUAUUUCAUCCUGCAGGCCUAAUAUCCAUGGACUUGAAAGCAACUCUGGUAAAAGUAAAUUAAAAACAAACAAACAAACAACUGCUGUUUUACAUGUGCAUAAGCAUAUCUGCAUAUUUUUAUGGUUAUUCCCACAUGGUGGUAUUUGAAAAUGCACCCUAUGAAGUUUCUGGCCAAAGAUUAAAUGGUAUAAAUAUAAACAUAAGA